GCGGACUGUGGUAGCAGCGACGAAAGCAGACUACUGCACAAGAGCAGGCCGGAGUCCGGAAAAGCAGAAAUAAUAGCUGACAGCCAUUGCUGCCUUCCGUUCCUUUGCCUCCUUGCGCACAACGCUACCAGUACUAGUACAACGGCUCACACAGACAGGACACGGCGGUCUCCUCGCUUGUCUCGUCUCUUUGCUCUGCUUCCCCUCCUCUGGAAGGCGCACGCAGCAUUUUCCUUCUGCCGGUUCUGCUCCAAGCUCGCCUGCUCCUCUACCUUCUCCUCGCUUGCAAGCCCAGUGCUAGUGCCGCGGCACGGAGAGACGGCAAUGGCGCGGCCGGUCGCUGGAGGAGAGGCCGCCGAGCUGGCCCCGGACAUCCAUGGUCUCGGCGAGAGCAGGAUGAGCAGGUUGCGAGUCCGCGGUGAUCCCUGAUAGAUCAUCUAAGGCAUCCCGCCAGUCGCCGAGCGCCGCAAGACCCGGACCUCCGGUCUGUGGCUUGGGCGCUGAGGAGGAAGGAGGUGGGGAGGAGCCGUGGAGGUGGAAGGACGAGGAUGCCAUGGUCGCUGGAGCUGCUAGCCAGCCUAGCAGGGGAUGAAGCCGUACGGUCCGGGAGAUGUAUACAUAAUUAUUUUUUUUCGUGAAGCAUUGUUAAACCAUUAACAAGGAUUAUAAAUCUUUUAUUGAGGUUGUGAUAUGAUCAGGCCUGCCGCUGCGCCUGCGC